rnacentral:tRNA from 1 species
AAAAACUAGUUAAAAUUUUACAAAAUAACAUUAGAAUGUCAAUCUAAAAUUACUUUCCAGUGUUUUUU